ACUGGAUAACUGAAUUCUAGAAUUCAAGCCUGAUGUCAUAGUUCCAUGAGAAUUUUAUGAGAAGGAAAAGGAUGUUGUACAUGGGCAGAAAGGUGAAAAUUGUGGCCAGAGGCAGAUUGUGGUAAAUUACAAAAUUGGCUCAUAAUCCUUUAUUCCUUCUUGCCUCCAUGCUCUUUGCAAUGUGACUUUGCCACUUUUCUCAUUAAGAGAUGGAUUCUGUUCUCCAUUGCCUUCUGUCUGGACUGGUCUUGUAACUUGUUCUGGUUAAUACAGAGGUAAAUGUGAUGACACAUCAGAAGCCCAGGCCUCAAGCAAGCUUUCCCACUUGUUCUCUUGGAACCCUUCCCAGCUAUCAGGUAAAUAAGCCCAGGCUAUUGUGCUGGAUGAUGAGAGGUCACUGGAACACUGAUGAGCCAUAACAGCUGAGGCCAUUCUAGAAUAGGCAGCUUUAGCCAACCAGGCAGCUGACUGCAGAUACAGGCCUGCAUCCAGAUGAGUCCAGAAAAGCAACCUAGACACUACUGGCAAAGACAUUGAAAAGAAUCACACUGCUAAACCAGUAGCAGCUUUUAUCUUCUUCUCAGAUUGUAUACAUGCAGGAUAAAAGUGUUUCUAACACAUAGACUUCUAUAUUCCAGCAUAAAGAUGUAUUAGGCGCAUUUAUACUUUUACAUCGAAGCCUGUUUCAACAUGAACGGAGCCCAGGCAAGUGUCCUUGUCAUCAAUCGAGAGUGAAAGUUAGCUAUACUUAAAAAAAAAAUAGGUUUUAAAAAAUAUCAAAAUAAUUAGAAAAGAGUUUCAACUAAUAACAUACUUACUAUUUGUAUUCCAUUUUGACAGUACCAUGUUAGAUCAAUGACUUCAUUUAUCACAAUAUAUUCCAUGUUACAGUUACCUCUCAGGAAAAUGACAUUGAUAGAGUCAACUUUCUUGAGAAUUAAGCUUCUGUAACUUUUAUUUAAAGGUGUCUCAAGCUUGUGCUUCUUAGUAUUUUAUGAUAUGUCUUUAGUUUUUGUAAUUUCACUUUGUCAAAACAUUACAUUUGUCAUUAUUCAUACUGAAAGACAAGGUAUUUUGAAGAUAAAAAUCUACCAAGGAUCAUCUACCAUUUGCUUUUGAUAUAAAAGAUUUAUAAGACCAUUUAGACCACAAAAACAAACCUUCCUAAGGACAUAUCUAUACAUCAACAAAUAUUAAAAAUUACAUUUCUAGGAAAUUAAAAACAAUUUAGAAAGGUGCUUAGUUGAACAGAAAUUAGCUACAACCAAAAUAAUGAUUAAUAUUAUAACCAUAAUCAUAGAAAAUAACAGUUGAUUGCCACUUUCAAGAAUAAAAGCAAAUUCUGUGAAUACAGAACUAAAAUACUAAAAAUAAACAAACAAGCUUGGGAGAGAUUAGUCAUGCAAAAUCCAACCCUAGAUAUUUGAUGGCAAUUAUCUUAAUUUUUUACCUUAUAAUUGAGAUGGUAUUUCACUGGCAAAGCUUAAACCAAGUAAUAUUCACAAAAAUGGAAGAAAUUCAUAAUUAAAGAAAGUCAUUAAGCAAAACAGAAAAAA
rnacentral:lncRNA from 1 species